rnacentral:lncRNA from 1 species
AAGAACAGCUGGUGAAUGCCUGACCGGUGAAGCCUUUACAACGGCAACUUCCGAGACUUAUUCAGCUCCUGCUAAACCAUUCGUUACCCCUCCUUCUGUGAAAGUCUUUCUGGGAACCUGUCGGAGUCCUCUUACUGUAGAUGGCAAGGAAUCAGCUAUGGAAUUUCCUCUUGUUGGACGGAGUUUAAGAGGGAAAUCUUUGACUUGAUGCCUCCCCUUCCUACUACUCGCGCUAAACCAUCUCCCGGUAGAGAAAGUCCUACUAUAAGUCUUGAAUUGACUA